ACCGAACAUUUUUUUCAAAGAAAAUGCCAUACUAAUUAGAAUUAUGCAAACUAAAAAACACAAAAAUAUAUUAUUAGCACGUAAGAGUUGAAAUGAGUUUACCGGAUUGCCGAACAACUUCUUGAAAAUUGAAAAUCGUUGAACUUGAACACUUGUAAACUUCAAUUCAACAACUUCACAAUUUUUCACGAAUUUUCAACAUUAAAUU
rnacentral:lncRNA from 1 species